rnacentral:tRNA from 3 species
GGACAGGUGGCGGAGUGGUUAAUCGCACUGGACUGUAAAUCCAGCGGACGAAGUCCUUCGGAGGUUCGAAUCCUCCCCUGUCCA